rnacentral:rRNA from 1 species
AGAGUUUGAUCAUGGCUCAGAUUGAACGCUGGCGGCAUGCCUUACACAUGCAAGUCGAACGGCAGCACGGGGCAACCUGGUGGCGAGUGGCGAACGGGUGAGUAAUAUAUCGGAACGUACCCUAGAGUGGGGGAUAACGUAGCGAAAAGUUACGCUAAUACCGCAUACGAUCUAAGGAUGAAAAGUGGGGGAUUCGCAAGAGCCUCAUGCUCGUGGAGCGGCCGAUAUCUGAUUAGCUAGUUGGUAGGGUAAAAGCCUACCAAGGCAUCGAUCAGUAGCUGGUCUGAGAGGACGACCAGCCACACUGGAACUGAGACACGGUCCAGACUCCUACGGGAGGCAGCAGUGGGGAAUUUUGGACAAUGGGCGAAAGCCUGAUCCAGCAAUGCCGCGUGAGUGAAGAAGGCCUUCGGGUUGUAAAGCUCUUUUGUCAGGGAAGAAACGGAUUGGUCUAAUACACUGGUCUAAUGACGGUACCUGAAGAAUAAGCACCGGCUAACUACGUGCCAGCAGCCGCGGUAAUACGUAGGGUGCAAGCGUUAAUCGGAAUUACUGGGCGUAAAGCGUGCGCAGGCGGUUAUGUAAGACAGAUGUGAAAUGCCCGGGCUUAACCUGGGAACUGCAUUUGUGACUGCAUGGCUAGAAUCUGGCAGAGGGGGGUAGAAUUCCACGUGUAGCAGUGAAAUGCGUAGAUAUGUGGAGGAAUACCGAUGGCGAAGGCAGCCCCCUGGGCUAAGAUUGACGCUCAUGCACGAAAGCGUGGGGAGCAAACAGGAUUAGAUACCCUAGUAGUCC